GCUUGCUCCCGGAUGUUAGCGGCGGACGGGUGAGUAACACGUGGGUAACCUGCCUGUAAGACUGGGAUAACUCCGGGAAACCGGAGCUAAUACCGGAUAGUUCCUUGAACCGCAUGGUUCAAGGAUGAAAGACGGUUUCGGCUGUCACUUACAGAUGGACCCGCGGCGCAUUAGCUAGUUGGUGGGGUAAUGGCUCACCAAGGCGACGAUGCGUAGCCGACCUGAGAGGGUGAUCGGCCACACUGGGACUGAGACACGGCCCAGACUCCUACGGGAGGCAGCAGUAGGGAAUCUUCCGCAAUGGACGAAAGUCUGACGGAGCAACGCCGCGUGAGUGAUGAAGGUUUUCGGAUCGUAAAGCUCUGUUGUUAGGGAAGAACAAGUGCGAGAGUAACUGCUCGCACCUUGACGGUACCUAACCAGAAAGCCACGGCUAACUACGUGCCAGCAGCCGCGGUAAUACGUAGGUGGCAAGCGUUGUCCGGAAUUAUUGGGCGUAAAGGGCUCGCAAGCGGUUUCUUAAGUCUGAUGUGAAAGCCCCCGGCUCAACCGGGGAGGGUCAUUGGAAACUGGGAAACUUGAGUGCAAAGAAGAGAGUGGAAUUCCACGUGUAGCGGUGAAAUGCGUAAAGAUGUGGAGGAACACCAAUGGCGAAGGCGACUCUCUGGUCUGUAACUGACGCUGAGGAGCGAAAGCGUGGGGAGCGAACAGGAUUAGAUACCUGGUAGUCCACGCCGUAAACGAUGAGUGCUAAGUGUUAGGGGUUUCCGCCCUUAUGCUGCAGCUAACGCAUUAGCACUCGCCGGGGAGUACGGUCGCAGAAACUGAACUCAAGGAAUGACGGGGCCGCCCAACGUGGAACUGUGU
rnacentral:rRNA from 1 species